CUUUUCUAUUAAUAUUGCUAUAUAUAGCGUGCCCAAGUGUAUCUUUGGUUAUCAAAACAACACAAGCCCUCAACUAAUCAGCUAUUAGGGAUGAAGCCUGCAACGAUGGCACUGCUCAUUUUGAUGAACAUGAUGUGCACUAUUGGAUUUUUUGAUCAUGCAAGUUUUCUUGGAACUAAGGCCCAAGAAACCACCUUGCUGGCAAAUUCAUACGGAAGCAAUGAAGAAACUGGUUCUACGAAGGGCAUAAAUCUUGGAAGGAAGCUGGUGGUGACGGACCGCAGCUGGUCUCCUAGAGAUGUCUGCUGCAACAAAAUGUCCUCCAAUUCUUGCAAACUGCAAUAUAAUUGUUAGAGAUAUAUGCUUGCAUUCCUAUGCAUAUGGAGGACGGAUAUCCUACAUAUAGACACGGUAUAUGUUGCAUCAGCAGGUUCUCAAGUCCCUUGUAUCAUCUGAGUUUAGACCUAUCUAAAUAAUAAUCUUUGGGGCCGUGAAAUACCGUGUAGUGUUGUACUGAGCGUACACUCUAUUAAACAAUAAAUUAAAAUAUGCCCAGUGUGUGAGCA